UAUUGGUCAAUGGGCGGGAGCCUGAACCAGCCAAGCCGCGUGAGGGAAUAAGGCCCUAUGGGUCGUAAACCUCUUUUGUCGGGGAACAAAAGCGGGGACGCGUCCCCGUUUGCGUGUACCUGAAGAAAAAGCAUCGGCUAACUCCGUGCCAGCAGCCGCGGUAAUACGGAGGAUGCGAGCGUUAUCCGGAUUUAUUGGGUUUAAAGGGUGCGCAGGUGGCCUGUUAAGUCAGCGGUAAAAGCCCGGGGCUCAACCCCGGCGAGCCGUUGAAACUGGCGGGCUGGAGUUGGAGAGAGGUACGCGGAAUGCGCGGUGUAGCGGUGAAAUGCUUAGAUAUCGCGCAGAACCCCGAUUGCGAAGGCAGCGUACCGGCUCCACACUGACGCUGAGGCACGAAAGCGUGGGUAUCG
rnacentral:rRNA from 1 species